GAUAUGCAAGGAGCUUGGCAAUUGUAACUCCUGUCCUCACAACAAGAAAUAAACUGAAAACCAGUAAUUCUUCUUAGAUCCAUCAGAGAAUUAAAGUCACAAAGCCAACUAUUAAAUACAUCCUUAAAAUUGGAGAGACAGAUGAAUAUAGAGAACUGCGGCUUACCUGGAGCAGAAGCUGCUGCCAGAGACAGAAAUCCCCUGAGAGAGCUCUGUGCUGGUAUUGGAGAAGACCAUGAUCAAAUUUGCCCAUUGGGAUAAAAUGACAGUUGCCAAGGAUCAUGCAGAAAACAAUUCUGGAAAGGAGUUUCAGUGAUGUGAUUUUUCUCAAUAAGUAUUACUGAAGUUGAAUUACUAAACCUUCUUAAUAUUUCAAGAAUUGCAUAAGCACCUACAGAAUUCCAUGAAACCUUUGCUGAUACUAGAGGGAGUCUCAGUGAAGGAAUAAAAAUACAUAAAUCCCACAAGAAACAAGAGAACACAGAAGAAAACCAUAGAUAAGAAGAAAAUUUGGCAAGUUUGAAAGAUCUCAUUUAUGUCAAGUCCAAAUACCAGAUGGAGGAGUAGUGACUGACUGCAGAGUGGAGUAAGCCCAGCCCACAUGCCUACAGCAGAAAGUUCAAUGAUGAGAGAAUAAAAGGCCAACUUAUGAACAAAGGAAAAUAAAGGGGCCAAACUGGUGAAUUAAAGGGGAAUGCAACGAAGACAAUCAUACCUGCAUCCUUUGGAUCUCAGGGUAGUGCUAAUCUCUGCCAUUCCUUUGGGAUAAAAAUUUUUUUUAAAUCUUGGUGUAAGAAGAAAGGGGUGAAGUUUCAGGGGUUUCAACUUAAUCUUCUCCACUACAGGGCUUCUUACUGUAUACAUCAAGAAAUGAAUGCGAGGUUUCCACCAAAUGCUAAAUAUGUCUCUUCCAAUUACCAAGCUUGGAAGCAGGAAAAUGAGCACAGUGUGGGACUGUGACCCAUUGGAUCCACUGUGAGGUGGAUCUGGGCCAAGAUUCCAUUUGCUGUCUCAGCCACAAAUGUGCCCCUACUCUAACAGGGGUGCCACAUUGGUGCUCUGAGCCCCCUGGGUUUCAGCAUCAAUCCAAAAUGUGUAUCUAAUAACUCUAGAAAGAUCUGGGUAAAUGGUCAAAGAUUUUGGGGGGGAAGAUUGGAGAAAUAACUGUAUACACUUGCCAUGGUCUUGCAGCAUUCUUCCUCAUAGGGACCUGGUCUGUCCUUCAGUCAAUGGGUUCUAACCAGAGAGCCAAAAACUGAUUAGGAGAUUAUGACUUUCUACAGAAGUGGCUGACUUCAGCCUUCUACCAAACCAUUCUUGAUCUAUUUUGAUUAUAUAUAAUAAACAGUACCCUUUUUGACUGUCCAUUUAUUUUGUCCCUAGGAACACCAUGUUCUAGCCAUCUCCUUUGAUAUCUAUAGGUUAGGCCUCUCUGGCUGCCAUUCUGAGCCUGCUGCCCAUUAUGGUUAUUACACCCACCUUGCUUCUGACAGUUAAGUGCUGCCACGUGACUUGUUUUUCCAGACUCCUAUCAUCCUGGUUGUUAGUAGGAACCCAAUUCUUUAACUGCAUGCCCUACCACCAGAACUGGCUUACAAAAGACAGCUGCUGCUGAGGUUUUCAAUGAUGC